AGAGUUUGAUCCUGGCUCAGGAUGAACGCUGGCGGCGUGCCUAACGCAUGCAAGUCGAACGAGAAAGCCCUUCGGGGUGAGUACAGUGGCGAACGGGUGAGUAACACGUGGGCAACCUGCCCCUCGCAGGGGGACAACCGGGGGAAACCCCGGCUAAUACCCCGUACGCUUGUCGGGUCGCAUGGCCCGGCAAGGAAAGGUAGCUUCGGCCAUCCGACGAGGGAUGGGCCCGCGGUACAUUAGCUAGUUGGUGGGGUAACUGCUCACCAAGGCGACGAUGUAUAGCUGGUCUGAGAGGAUGAUCAGCCACACUGGGACUGAGACACGGCCCAGACUCCUACGGGAGGCAGCAGUCGGGAAUCUUGCGCAAUGGGCGAAAGCCUGACGCAGCAACGCCGUGUGAGCGACGAAGGCCUUCGGGUCGUAAAGCUCUGUUGUUGGGGACGAAGGGUUAGGGGUUAAUAGCUCCGAGCCUGACGGUACCCUUCGAGGAAGCCCCGGCUAACUACGUGCCAGCAGCCGCGGUAAUACGUAGGGGGCGAGCGUUGUCCGGAAUCAUUGGGCGUAAAGAGCGUGUAGGCGGUUUGGUAAGUCUGCCGUGAAAACCUGGGGCUCAACCCCGGGCGUGCGGUGGAUACUGCCAAGCUAGAGGGUGGUAGAGGCGAGUGGAAUUCCCGGUGUAGCGGUGAAAUGCGCAGAUAUCGGGAGGAACACCAGUAGCGAAGGCGGCUCGCUGGGCCAUUCCUGACGCUGAGACGCGAAAGCAUGGGGAGCAAACAGGAUUAGAUACCCUGGUAGUCCACGCCGUAAACGAUGAACACUAAGUGUGGGUGGAGUCGAAUCUAUCCGUGCCGCAGCCAACGCGAUAAGUGUUCCGCCUGGGGAGUACGGCCGCAAGGCUAAAACUCAAAGGAAUUGACGGGGGCCCGCACAAGCAGCGGAGCAUGUUCUUUAAUUCGAUGCAACGCGAAGAACCUUACCUGGGCUUGACAUGGUGCUGCAAGCGCACGGAAACGUGUGACCUUCGAGGGUGCACCACAGAUGCUGCAUGGCUGUCGUCAGCUCGUGUCGUGAGAUGUUGGGUUAAGUCCCGCAACGAGCGCAACCCUCGCCCUUAGUUGCCAUCAUUCAGUUGGGCACUCUAAGGGACUGCCCGGUGAUAAGCCGCGAGGAAUGGUGGGGGAUGACGUCAAGUCCUCA
rnacentral:rRNA from 1 species